rnacentral:rRNA from 1 species
UUGAACGCUGGCGGCAGGCCUAACACCUGCAAGUCGCGCGGAUGAAGGGAGCUUGCUCCUGGAUUCAGCGGCGGACGGGUGAGUAAUGCCUAGGAAUCUGCCUGGUAGUGGGGGAUAACGUCCGGAAACGGGCGCUAAUACCGCAUACGUCCUGAGGGAGAAAGUGGGGGAUCUUCGGACCUCACGCUAUCAGAUGAGCCUAGGUCGGAUUAGCUAGUUGGUGGGGUAAAGGCCUACCAAGGCGACGAUCCGUAACUGGUCUGAGAGGAUGAUCAGUCACACUGGAACUGAGACACGGUCAAGACGCCUAAGGGAGGCAGCAGUGGGGAAUAUUGGACAAUGGGCGAAAGCCUGAUCCAGCCAUGCCGCGUGUGUGAAGAAGGUCUGCGGAUUGUAAAGCACUUUAAGUUGGGAGGAAGGGCAGUAAGUUAAUACCUUGCUGUUUUGACGUUACCAACAGAAUAAGCACCGGCUAACUUCGUG